rnacentral:rRNA from 1 species
CCUACGGGAGACAGCAGUGGGGAAUAUUGCGCAAUGGGCGAAAGCCUGACGCAGCGACGCCGCGUGAGGGAUGAAGGUCUUCGGAUCGUAAACCUCUGUCAGCAGGGAAGAACGGUCACUGUGCUAAUCAGCAGUGAAUUGACGGUACCUGCAAAGGAAGCACCGGCUAACUCCGUGCCAGCAGCCGCGGUAAUACGGAGGGUGCGAGCGUUAAUCGGAAUUACUGGGCGUAAAGCGCUCGUAGGCGGUAUGUCAAGUCAAGGGUGAAAUCCCCGCGCUCAACGUGGGAACUGCCUUUGAAACUGGCAGACUGGAGUGCGUGAGAGGAUAGUGGAAUUCCAGGUGUAGGAGUGAAAUCCGUAGAUAUCUGGAGGAACAUCAGUGGCGAAGGCGACUAUCUGGCACAUAACUGACGCUGAGGAGCGAAAGCGUGGGUAGCAAACAGGAUUAGAUACCCGUGUAGUC